UACAGAGGUCCCGAGCGUUGUUCGGAUUCAUUGGGCGUAAAGGGUGCGUAGGCGGCGGGGAAAGUCUGAUGUGAAAUCCUGGGGCUCAACCCUGGAACUGCAUUGGAUACUUCCUUGCUAGAGUACUGGAGAGGAAACUGGAAUUUACGGUGUAGCAGUGAAAUGCGUAGAGAUCGUAAGGAAGACCAGUGGCGAAGGCGAGUUUCUGGACAACUCCUGACACUGAGGCACGAAAGCUAGGGGAGCAAACAGG
rnacentral:rRNA from 1 species